GAAGCUAUUGCUGCAAAGGCGCGCCAGCCAGCAACGCCCAAGCGCUAUACAAGCUCUGUGUGCCCAUCCCCACCCAUGCUUGCUGCGAUGCCCGUCGCCAUGCUCUGGACAGUGCAGAUCGCGUGAGCACAUGCUAACCCCUCUGCCUCUCCGCAAUUUUUCGUCGGAGUUGGUCCCUAUGGCUCCCCUAGCGGCCACCUAUAAAUAAACCACCGAGCCUUGCUAGCACCAUCACUCACCCUCCUCCAUUCCAUAGUCUCUCCCCAUCCACUCGAAGGGCGCCGAGAAGGUCAUCUUCCCUGCCUUCGGUCGCCCGAUUGGGUUUCGGGUCCCAGCUAAAUUCGAGCCAGUAAGAGCACCCCCUCAGCCAAUUCUUUGCCAUCAAGCCCCUAGAGCACUAGCUCAUGUGACUGGCACGUCGAUUUGGUGAUUGAUGGCGUCUCCAGUGAGAUCCACCUGCACCCAAAAGCGUCGCCGCCGGAGUUUGGAGCUACCAUCGUUGUGGUGUCCGCCGGCGUGUGACUCCACCUCCAUCAGCUAUGGAACCUCCUGAUACCGACGAGGGAAGCGCCGAUGUCAACUUCACCGAGCUCGAUCCCGACUUCGUCGAACCAAGCAAGCAUGUUUGAACACUUGAUGUGAUGUUUGCUGAUAAAAAAUUAUUGAUCAUCUGUUGCAUGAACAAACGCAUUACAUGUUACUUAAUAUAACUCUAUAUGUGACAA